GUCUUUGUGGAGCACGGAGCUCACUUCCAUCCUGUACCUUCGCACGAAUGCAGGUGGCAAGCGUCGGUGGUUCGAAUCCACCCGAAGACA